CACGGAGGGCGUGACCGUUAAUUGGAAUUACUGGGUGUAAAGGGCGAGUAGGUGGCCGCAUGGGUCGGAUGUGAAAGCCCCGGGCUUAAAUUGGGAAUUGCAUUGGAUACUGUGUGGCUAGAGUGUGGCAGAGGAAAGCGGAAUUCCCGGUGUAGCGGUGAAAUGCGUAGAUAUCGGGAGGAACAUCAGUGGCGAAGUCGGCUUUCUGGGUCAACACUGACACUUAGGUGCGAAAGUGUGGGGAGCAAACAGG
rnacentral:rRNA from 1 species